rnacentral:rRNA from 1 species
GAUGAACGCUAGCGACAGGCUUAACACAUGCAAGUCGAGGGGCAGCAGGAAGUAGCAAUACUUUGCUGGCGACCGGCGCACGGGUGAGUAACGCGUAUGCAACCUACCUAUCAGAGGGGGAUAACCCGGCGAAAGUCGGACUAAUACCGCAUAAAACAGGGGUCCCGCAUGGGAAUAUUUGUUAAAGAUUUAUUGCUGAUAGAUGGGCAUGCGUUCCAUUAGAUAGUUGGUAAGGUAACGGCUUACCAAGUCUGCGAUGGAUAGGGGUUCUGAGAGGAAGGUCCCCCACACUGGUACUGAGACACGGACCAGACUCCUACGGGAGGCAGCAGUGAGGAAUAUUGGUCAAUGGGCGAGAGCCUGAACCAGCCAAGUCGCGUGAAGGAUGAAGGAUCUAUGGUUCGUAAACUUCUUUUAUAAGGGAAUAAAGUGCGGGACGUGUCCUGUUUUGUAUGUACCUUAUGAAUAAGGAUCGGCUAACUCCGUGCCAGCCGCCGCAGUAA